GACGAACGCUGGCGGCGUGCUUAACACAUGCAAGUCGAACGGAAAGGCCCUGCUUUUGCGGGGUGCUCGAGUGGCGAACGGGUGAGUAACACGUGAGUAACCUGUCCCUGACUUUGGGAUAACUUCAGGAAACUGGGGCUAAUACCGGAUAGGAGCUCCUGCUGCACGGUGGGGGUUGGAAAGUUUCGGCGGUUGGGGAUGGACUCGCGGCUUAUCAGCUUGUUGGUGGGGUAGUGGCUUACCAAGGCUUUGACGGGUAGCCGGCCUGAGAGGGUGACCGGCCACAGUGGGACUGGGGUACGGCCCAGACUCCUACGGGGGGCAGCAGUGGAGAAUAUUGCGCAAUGGGCGGAAGCCUGAUGCAGCAACGCCGCGUGCGGGAUGACGGCCUUCGGGUUGUAAACCGCUUUCGCCUGUGACGAAGCGUGAGUGACGGUAAUGGGUAAAGAAGCACCGGCUAACUACGUG
rnacentral:rRNA from 1 species